rnacentral:rRNA from 1 species
AUACGGAUGGUGCGAGCGUUGUUCGGAAUUACUGGGCGUAAAGGGCGCGUAGGCGGCGAUGUAAGUCAAAUGUGAAAGUCCUCGGCUUAACCGGGGAAGUGCAUCUGAAACUGCAUUGCUUGAGUAUGAGAGAGGAAAGUGGAAUUCCCGGUGUAGAGGUGAAAUUCGUAGAGAUCGGGAGGAAUACCGGUGGCGAAGGCGACUUUCUGGACCAAUACUGACGCUGAGGCGCGAAAGCGUGGGGAGCAAACAGGAUUAGAAACCCUAGUAGUCC